rnacentral:tRNA from 1 species
GGAGGCUUAGCUCAGCUGGCUGGAAGAGCGCUUGCAUAGCAAGCAAGAGGUCAGGGGUUCGCUCCCCUAUUCUCCA